rnacentral:rRNA from 1 species
CCCUUAGAUGUUCUGGGCCGCACGCGCGCUACACUGACGAAGUCAGCGAGCAUCUCCUACGCCGAAAGGUGCGGGGAAUCUUGUGAAACUUUGUCGUGCUGGGGAUUGAUUUUUGAAAUUCUUGAUCAUCAACGAGGAAUUCCUAGUAAGCGCAAGUCAGCAGCUUGCGUUGAUUACGUCCCUGCCCUUUGUACACACCGCCCGUCGCUACUACCGAUUGAAUGGUUUAGUGAGAUUUUUGGACUGGAACUCUCUUGUUCAGCAAUGAACGAGAGGGACUCUGGGGAGCUAUUCUAACUGUAUCAUUUAGAGGAAGUAAAAGUCGUAACA